AUUUCAAUUUCUCCCAAAUCAAACACCGCACACUCCAUCUUCACCCAAAUUGAAACCCGCACCGACGAAAACCCUCUCCAUGCCUUACCAUCUUCGACCGCACAUCAGUCAAAGGUAACGCCGCCGAUACAGUGGCAAUUCUUUCGAAGAUUGUCCCGCCUCAUAGUUCACCAUCUCUGUCCAAGGCAAAAGGGAGCACGGAAAGGAAUGCUAAAGGGAAGGAGUCGGCCUAAUUAGUACAUAUUAAUCGAAGGACUAGUUAUUACAUAAACUUUUGUAUAUGUGGUAUUAUUAUGUGCGAAUGUAUGUGAACUAUGGUUGUAAACAUAUGUGAAUCUAUAAUGUGUUGGAAGUUGCACUCUUGUUUGUAACGUCGAUUUUUACUUGUAAUGAACUGAUGGGUUUAUGUACCUUUUUCCAGUUGGAAGCUAAACUCCAAA